GAAAUGCCCCUCAUCACUAGAAGAGAUGGGGAUGACUAUGUAAACGACCAUCCAUCCUUCAUCUUUUCCCUGUGCUUUCCCUUGGGGAAAACCGCUCUUUACUGCUCUAUCGGAGCAAACAGCAAUUGGGGCUUUCUCUGGUUUGAUGUUUGCUCCUAUUUGGCAGUCAGGAGCAGGCCUUCUCUGGGAAAGGAGCAGGGCAAUAUGAAGAUUGCUCAGACCCAUGUUUUCUAGGCAUGGGACAAGUGGAACAAUGGACUUUGGGCUUUCAAAUGUCAGGGGUGCCCUCUGCAACGACAAAAUUUGGCACCCUCUCGCCUUCCAGUCUAAGUUAUUGUUGCAGCAGUCCCUGGAAAACCCUAUCAACUUGAUGCCCAGUGUGGGUGAACUGGUUGAGCUCCCCUAAACCCACCUCUGUUAACAGCUCCCUUUUGAGUUCAGGAACACACAACUCUGUUGCUGCCGACCCCUUUGUUCCUGCUCUAGAACUCCGUAGCUCACCUCCAGACCAUUCUGGCCCUGCUGUGACCCCACUUUAUAGACCAAGUGCUGAUCAUGGGCAGAGGGCGGGGGCCCAAGAUGAACACCACCACCAUUGGACUGGAGCCCCAGCAGCUGCCCCAAAGUAAGUAGGGUUUCUUCAGGCCAUUUUGAUUUUCAGCAGCAACAACAUAAAUUUGCAAAGGUUUGGUCUCAUUCAGGUAAAUUGGCCUCAUUCUUUGACUGUAAAGUCCAAGAAUCGAGUGGCUUGCCAAUUAGCUGUCACUAUUCAUUAUUAUUAACACGGUGUUGCUGCGAGCCAUAUUUAGGGCACUGACUUUUUGAAGAGAUUAAGAUUACACCUAAUAAACCACUUUUGACGACAGGAGAAAAAUGUGCCAGGAGUGCAUCAGCAUCUGUCACAGACGCAGCUGCUCUGCCUUUGUGCAGCCACAGUGGCUUGUAAAUCGCAACUCCCUGCUGUCAAGUGCGCUUGAUUUGUGGGGCGUUUGCAUUUUGCAAAUCCCAUCGCAGAGUGGAGCAGGACAGAAAAGGAGCAGAAACUGGUCUGGUUCAAUGUCCACCCCCAGGAGCCCAGGGACACAACAGUGGCUCCAUAAUGGAUGGCAACGUCUUAACACAUGGUGAACUUACGGUCAUUUGUUAGUUUCUGAGAUUUCAUUUAAUGGAGCUGUGAAUGUGGCAGAUUCAGAGAGGGGUGUCAAUAUUUUUAAAGUUCUGUAUUCCAAUGCAGAGGAUUGUGUUAAGUGGGGCACGUGGCCAUUCUCCUUCCCUGUCCAUGGACAAAGCCAUGUGCCCCACAAUACACUAUUAAGUUUUGUUUAUUAGCACAUUAUCUGAUCCCUUCUUGAACAUGACCUCAGUGUCUAGGAGUACCUUUUACCAGUUUCUGUUAGCAAGACAGCUACGGCCAUUUUUGGCUCAAGAUAGGCUGACUUCUGCUGUCAGUGCACUGGUGGCAAUCUCUAAAUUUCAUUGCUACAAUACGCCCUUUGUGGAGUUGCCAUUGAGGCUCACCUGAAGCUGAAGCUACUGCUAAAUGUGGAAGCCUGGCUGCUCCCUGAGGCAGAAUAUUGCUGUCAUAUACCGUAUUUUUCGCUCCAUAAGACACACUUUUUUCCUCCUAAAAAGUAAGAGGAAAUGUCUGUGUGUCUUAUGCAGAGAAUACUGUGGGGAGGAGGGACGGAUGGGCUCCCAUCUGUCCCUCCUCCUCGGCUCGCUUUAAAACAGCAAAGUGGGACAGGGGCCACUUACACGGGUGUAAAGCAAGCACAGUGGGAGCAGUGUAAUCCCUCCGCCCCCGCACUUGGCCGCCCCAUUGGGAUGGGAGGGUGCACGCAUGCCACCCCCUUGGGACGAUGCUCAUGUGGGUGAUGUCCCACAUCCCCACAGGCGACGUGCCACCACGCAAGACCCUCCCUCCACCACUGGUCUUGCCGGGACAGUAGUGCUUUCCUUUGUAGAAGUGUGAAAUUUGAAGGGCGGCUGUGGUUUCCUCCUUGUGUUGUGUACAAAGGUGUGACUUUAAAUGACUUUAAAUUGACUUUAAAUGGGAAUUGAAUCAGAUUUCUCCCUCAUUCCUCCCUCAUAUGAAAGCCCCCAGAGCUCUCUGCAAUGAACAAAAAGGAAGAAAGUCCAACUUCUUUUGGCUUUAUUAAAAUAAUUGUGUAGCGCCAAACCAUACAGUCCUUAGAUCUAAGGGACUCAAUGUGGGAAGCUCAUAUAUUUCCAUUGCCUGCCCCCCUUACUAGGGGAUAAAGUCUCUCUUCAUUUUACACUGUUCACUUUACAUGGUUGAAAUAUUAUGAUAUACUGGUAGUUUAUUAAAUAGUUUAGUACAGUGGUACCUCGGGUUAUAGAAACUUCAGGUUACAGACACUUCAGGUUACAGACUCUGCUAACCCAGAAAUAGUACCUCGGGUUAAGAACUUUGCUUCAGGUUGAGAACAGAAAUCACACGGCAGCGGGAGGCCCCAUUACUUAAGUGGUACCUCAGGUUAAGAACAGUUUCAGGUUAAGAACGGACCUCCGGAACGAAUUAAGUUCUUAACCAGAGUUACCACUGUACAACAUUUGAUUCAGAAUAUAUAUUUUUUUCUUGUUUUCCUCCUCUAAAAACUAGGUGCGUCUUAUGGAGCGAAAAGUACAGUUAUAUGAUGCUACAGCUGAAAGAUUUGCACUUGCUGCCAAUGAGCUUCCAGGCUGGGUUCAAGGUGCAGGUAUUGGUUUACAAAGCCCUGUAGAACUUGAGAUCCUACAUACAUAGGUUCAGUGAUUAAACUAAGCCAUCUCCCUGGCCAGUGGGGAUGAGGAGGUGUUAAUGAAUCAGGACCAAUUUUGUAGCGUUUCAAGAAAACUCGAGGCCUCAGCAAUGAAACACAACCCCAAGCACCUGCCAUUUUGAAUCAAAGUUCUGAUCAUAAAUAAUUUCAAGAAAGGAUAUAUAAAAACAAAAUGUUUGUUUCUCAUAUGAAAGAUGAGUGGGGGAAAUUGCUAAGUAGAAAACUCUGUUGGGGCCGCACGAUACUUCGGUUCCAAGAUAUGUUUUAGGCAAUGACUUUUCUCUUGAAUUUUUCAAUAUAUUGAGGUGCUCUUGGGAACAAGUAGUAUCAUUUUAGACAUUCUUUCAUGUCCUGUUAAAUUGGCAGGGCUGGAGUAUCCAUCGCAGCUGCAAAUAAAAGAAGUCAACUUUGUGCCCCCACCUUACAGGUAAGGACUUGAAUAAAAAUUGCAUAGGUUUUACUUGUUUGGGGAAUAUAUUUUCCUAGCAAUUCCCAUGAAGGCAACAUUUAUGCAAGCAGGAUAUCAGAAGGAGACUGCUGGUCCCUCUGGGUGUCGUCGGUUUGGAUUCUCAAAUGCUUGCAAGUUAUGGUAACAUUUUAAUUAGUAUUUUAGAGUUACCAUUUUCCACUUGGCAAAAGGACUACAGUAGGCCUUUCAUAUAUCCUACUCAUUAUGUCUUAUUAGAACCAGGCAAGUCAGCAUAAAUCUUGCUUCCCCCAGGAUGAAUAGGUAUCCCCAUUGGCUAAUAGCUACCGACCAAGGAAAUUCUCUUUUAUUAUAUUUGUAUGCCUGACAUAUUUUUGUAGUAUGUUAAUAAGCAUACAUAAAUGCCUGAAUAAAUGCACCGUGGAGAAUACAGGAUAUUCUUUCCUCUUUACGGCUUGGAUGAAUGAAAGCCCAUCUCUGCUGUCACCUCUGCUGCUUGGGAAGUGACGCAGUCUUCCUGUGAUACCAAAAAGGGCUGGGAAGCCUAAGGUCGCCUGGGAGAGGCCACUGACCAUGUUCUAAGCUCCUGGGAAGCCAGGGCUGGCAGAGGAAGUAGCCAUAAAAGGGCCCAUAAUGCACACCAGCUCCAGCCUUUCAACCUUAUCUCAGUGGAACUGGAAGGAGCCAUCUUUGUAAUAAUAAUAAUAAUAAUAAUAAUAAUAAUAAUAAUAAUAAUAUCUUUAUUGUCAUUGCCCCCUUCAGGGACAACGAAAUUACUUGACUGCUCCAUAAAAACACUAAUUAAACAAUACAGUAUAAUACAGCAAGGGAGAUUAGAUGACUUUCAAAGUCUGGGCUUCCCAUUCAGGGCCGAGAUCGCUCUGGAGAAGAAGCUGUUCUUAAGACGGCUCGUUCUUGUCUUCAUCGUCCUGUAUCUCCGUCCCGACGGCAAAAGCUCGAAGAGACAGUGACCAGGAUGCGAUGGAUCUUUUACUAUGUCCAGUGCCUUCCUAUGGCACCUUGUGGCAUAAAUCUGCUCUAAGGUGGAGAGUGGGCAGCCAACAAUGCUCUCUGCUGCCUUAACAACCCUGCACAACCCCAUCCUGUCCUGGGUAGUACAGCUUCUAUACCACACACAUGAUCUAUACACUGCUAAGGUACAGAGGUGCAUUGCUCUGGCACCUGGAGCGAUGCACACGCUGUGCACCUGGUGGCAGGGCGAGCGUCCCACGGGGGUGGGGCAGCGAGCACGGGGGCAGCGCCGCACGCAGCAAGCAUCCCAGGGAGGCGGUACAGCAAUGUCAUCCCCCCUCAGGGAUGACACCCAGGCCGAAUCACACACCCCAACCCCUUCCUCCGCCAGUGCUAAGGUAGCAACAUUAUUUACCCUCAGCAGUUCAUAAAUGCAUUGUGUAAAGAGGAUAAAAACUAUUUAGGGAGAAAGGCGAGGUGAACAUAAUUCCUUUUAGUACUGUAUUUCCAAAGCAGGAACCCAGCCCAGGGUAUCAACUGGAUGACAGAGAGCAAAGUUUGUGAGAGGAUUGCCAUGAUAUGGAGACAGCCGAGGCGCUGUUCAAAUUAUUUGAAUCUGGAGCAGUUACUGGAUAGAUAUUAUUAUUAUUAUUAUUAUUAUUAUUAUUAUUAUUAUAUCUUAAUCUAGAACCAUUUUUUUUUUUUUGUAUUUUCCCAGAAAGAACUGAGCCAAACGCUGGUGACAAAAGAUGAUCUGAUAAAUUAAAAACAAACAACUCACCCAAUAAGCAAGGCCUCCGUGCUGUGGACUUUCUAGUUGGCUGAGCACUAUUAGAAAUGAGAUGCUGGACUAGACAGGACAUUUGUCUAAUUGUGUCAAUUUCCAAGUAUAACUGCGCUCUAUGAGCUUUAUCUGAUCUGUGGUCCCAAAGAAGGUGUAAUAGUAACUCAUUUUAAAAAGAACACCUUCCAUCCAAAAGGCCGCCAAUCAAAUAUUUUGAGAAAAUAAACCUAUAAUUGCUUCAUUGUAACAGGCCAGGCCCUGGACAAAAAGAGAGACUGGUUUAUAAAGUGUAUUGGACUUGUCGAAGAAAACACUCAUCAAACUCCCAUAACUCUCUUUCCAUCUGCAUUCCUUUCCCUUUUCAUCAGUAAACCUAAGUGUGGAAUAACAAUUAGUAUUUGCGUACUUAUCG